CGUGUAGGCGGGGAUAUAAGUCAGAUGUGAAAUACCGUAGCUUAACUACGGGGCUGCAUCUGAAACUAUGUUUCUUGAGUGUCGGAGAGGAAAGUGGAAUUCCCAGUGUAGCGGUGAAAUGCGUAGAUAUUGGGAGGAACACCAGUGGCGAAGGCGACUUUCUGGACGAUAACUGACGCUGAGGCGCGAAAGCGUGGGGAGCAAACAGGAUUAGAUACCCUGGUAGUCCACGCUGUAAACGAUGGAUACUAGGUGUAGGAGGUAUCGACCCCUUCUGUGCCGGAGUUAACACAAUAAGUAUCCCACCUGGGGAGUACGGCCGCAAGGUUGAA
rnacentral:rRNA from 1 species